AGAACGAACGCUGGCGGCAUGCCUAAUACAUGCAAGUCGAACGAACUCUUCGGAGUUAGUGGCGCACGGGUGCGUAACGCGUGGGAAUCUGCCCCUUGGUUCGGAAUAACAGUUGGAAACGACUGCUAAUACCGGAUGAUGACGAAAGUCCAAAGAUUUAUCGCCAAGGGAUGAGCCCGCGUAGGAUUAGCUAGUUGGUGAGGUAAAGGCUCACCAAGGCAACGAUCCUUAGCUGGUCUGAGAGGAUGAUCAGCCACACUGGGACUGAGACACGGCCCAGACUCCUACGGGAGGCAGCAGUAGGGAAUAUUGGACAAUGGGCGAAAGCCUGAUCCAGCAAUGCCGCGUGAGUGAUGAAGGCCUUAGGGUUGUAAAGCUCUUUUACCCGAGAUGAUAAUGACAGUAUCGGAAGAAGUAAGCCCCGGAUAACUCCGCGCCAGCAGCCGC
rnacentral:rRNA from 1 species